UACGGAGGGUGCUAGCGUUGCUCGGCAUGACUGGGCGUAAAGGGCGCGUAGGCGGACUGCACAGUCAGGCGUGAAAUUCCUGGGCUUAACCUGGGGACUGCGUCUGAGACGUGUGAUCUAGAGUGAGGAAGAGGGUCGUGGAAUUUCCAGUGUAGAGGUGAAAUUCGUAGAUAUUGGAAAGAACACCGGUGGCGAAGGCGGCGACCUGGUCCUUGACUGACGCUGAGGCGCGAAAGCGUGGGGAGCAAACAGG
rnacentral:rRNA from 1 species